rnacentral:rRNA from 1 species
UAGUGGCUGAACGGGUGAGUAACACGUGAGUAACCUGCCCUUAACUCUGGGAUAAGCCUGGGAAACUGGGUCUAAUACUGGAUAUUGACUUUUCACCGCAUGGUGGUUUGUUGAAAGAUUUAUUGGUUUUGGAUGGACUCGCGGCCUAUCAGCUUGUUGGUGAGGUAAUGGCUUACCAAGGCGACGACGGGUAGCCGGCCUGAGAGGGUGACCGGCCACACUGGGACUGAGACACGGCCCAGACUCCUACGGGAGGCAGCAGUGGGGAAUAUUGCACAAUGGGCGAAAGCCUGAUGCAGCGACGCCGCGUGAGGGAUGACGGCCUUCGGGUUGUAAACCUCUUUCAGUAGGGAACAAGGCCAUCACUUGUGGUGGUUGAGGGUACUUGCAGAAGAAGCGCCGGCUAACUACGUGCCAGCAGGCCGCGGUAAUACGUAGGGCGCAAGCGUUAUCCGGAAUUAUUGGGCGUAAAGAGCUCGUAGGCGGUUUUGUCGCGUCUGCCGUGAAGUCCGGGGCUCAACUCCGGAUCUCGGUGGGUACCGGCAGACUAAAGUUGAUGUUAGGGGAGAACUGGACUGGAAUUCCUUGGUUGUUACCGGUGAAA